rnacentral:rRNA from 1 species
CAGUCGCCACGGUAAUACGGAGGGUGCAAGCGUUAAUCGGAGUUACUGGGCGUAAAGUGUGCGUAGGCGGUUCGUUAAGUCUGUUGUGAAAGCCCCGGGCUCAACCUGGGAAUGGCAAUUGAUACUGCCUGGCUAGAGUAUCGAAGAGGGAAGUGGAAUUUCCGGUGUAGCGGUGAAAUGCGUAGAUAUCGGAAGGAACACCAGUGGCGAAAGCGACUUCCUGGUCGAAUACUGACGUUCAUGUGCGAAAGCGUGGGGAGCAAACAGGAUUAGAUACCCCCGUAGUCCCUGUCUCUUAUAC